UACAGAGGUCCCAAGCGUUGUUCGGAUUCAUUGGGCGUAAAGGGUGCGUAGGCGGCGCGGUAAGUCGGGUGUGAAAUCUCGGAGCUUAACUCCGAAACUGCAUUCGAUACUGCCGUGCUUGAGGACUGGAGAGGAGACUGGAAUUUACGGUGUAGCGGUGAAAUGCGUAGAUAUCGUAAGGAAGACCAGUGGACGGAAGGCGGGUCUCUGGACAGUUCCUGACGCUGAGGCACGAAGGCCAGGGGAGCAAACGGG
rnacentral:rRNA from 1 species